UUCACAUGCAUUUGUGAUUUUGCUGAACAUUUUUUUCCAUCAACUAUUUUACAAUUUAUUCUCGUUUGGGUUCAAUUCAAAUUCUUGGUUUCUGGAAAUGCUUAUAAAUUAGAAAAUGACCAUCUGUAUUUUUUUCUUUUUUUUUUUUUAGGUAGCCAUUCAUCUGCCGAAUGGAAGUGUUGAGGUCAUCUCCAGCUCUAAGGUUUUGUGAUUCCAAUAGGAAAAUAUGUUAUUCUUGUUUAGAGACCUGGACACCAUCUGUGAUUUUUGGAUGAAGACCUAGAUGAGUUCAAAGGCCUGAAGAACCAGGGGCGCCACUGUGUAAAUCUGUUACCAAACCAAACUGGGAUCUGCUCACCCGGUGCUGUAAGGCCCAACAUCUACAUGAAAGUUUGCAGAGGGAGAAAGGAGGGGCCCAAGCGUGAAGAAUUGGGCAGCUUAUGCUUGAGACAUGACCCCCCUGAUGGCUUGUAAGUGAGUGUUAUUUAAAGGUGGGGGCAAAUUUUAGGGAAAAUGAAGUUACAGUAAAAAUUGUUAAUCAAUACAUAGAGAUUAUGAACUGAGUUGGCCUAGAAAGCUUGGAUAUCUUAAGGCAGGGGAUUGUAGGUCAUAGGUAGAUUCGAAGACUUUCUGAUUUGCAAUUAGCAAAGGAAGAGAACCUCUGUUUAAAAAUGUGGAGUUAGCAGAA
rnacentral:lncRNA from 13 species